GCGUCUAUAUAUACAUAACUGGACGCUAUGAGAGCCACUCUGGAAGCUUACCCGGCCUGUGAGUGUGUGCUCGUUCCUCAGGCUACCCGAAUUUUGUAAUCACCACCAGUGCCAUCACGAGCACGAGCACCACCACGACCUCCAGCACCACUACGCCCCUAGCGUCACCAUGAAGACCUUCGCCGUCCUCUUCCUGUGCCUGGUGGUCACCGCCGCCGGAGUCCCCCAGCAGGGCGCCGCAACGCGCGAUGGCCGCUUCUUAAUACCCGUUCCAAUUCUCAUAGGCUCCCCCACCGUCCCCACCACUACACUCAACCCGCUCGGGAUCCUCGGACUCAUUUGUCCACCACUUAUUUGCGAUAAAUUAACCACCUCAACAACCACAACAACAACCACCACAACACGCCGCCCCCCUGGGCCACCAGUAGUGGGCCCUGGAAAAUGAGGAUCAGUCGCCACCGGCACUCGAAUGAGCCAGCACCCUGUGUGUCAAUAAGUUAGUUCAUUGUUUGAUUGUCUCCUCGUUCGCCAUUUAGUCUCAAUUGUUUCACCGUAUACCCAGUCAGUCCCCGUUGUUUCACCGUAUACCCAGUCAGUCCCCGUUGUUUCACCGUAUACCCAGUCAGUCCCCGUUGUUUCACCGUAUACCCAGUCAGUCCCCGUUGUUUCACCGUAUACCCAGUUAGUCCCCGUUGUUUCACCGUAUACCCAGUCAGUCCCCGUUGUUUCACCGUAUACCCAGUCAGUCCCCGUUGUUUCACCGUAUACCCAGUCAGUCCCCGUUGUUUCAUCUAGCUAUAAUUUUUUAUACUGCAACUAAUGUAUUUUUGUACAACACUUAUGCAAGAUUUUGCAAUAAAGUUCUUGUUUUCGUAACAAUUA